AGCCGAUUGGCAGAGCGGGGCUUUCAGGAACAAUAACAGUGGGGGGAGCCGGGGCCCCGGGGAGCCUCCCCGCCCCCGGCCCGGCUGCGGCUCACGCCCCUCUAGGGGUCCCCACCUCCGCACCGCCCCACGGGCUGACCGGCGCCCGGGCCCGCCCCCGGCGCCCACCAUGUACGCCUUUGUGCGGUUCCUGGAGGACAACGUCUGCUACGCGCUGCCCGUGUCGUGCGUGCGCGACUUCAGUCCCCGCUCGCGACUGGAUUUUGACAACCAGAAGGUGUACGCGGUGUACCGGGGCCCGGAGGAGCUGGGCGCCGAGCCCGAGAGUCCCCCGCGUGCCCCUCGGGACUGGGGCGCGCUGUUGCUCCACAAGGCCCAGAUCCUGGCGCUGGCAGAAGACAAAUCUGACCUUGAGAACAGUGUGAUGCAGAAGAAAAUAAAAAUCCCCAAACUUUCUCUCAGUCAUGUAGAAGAUGAUGGGGAGGUUAAAGACUAUGGGGAAGAAGAUUUACAGCUUAGACACAUCAAGGAUUGUCUGGGGAAAUAUUGAGCUGCAGUCCAAGAAAGUCCCAGCUGCCCUUGCCUGAACUGAUUCUCGUUGUCCUACACAGAGACCGGAGGGGCGGAAGCCUAGUGAAGCGGCUCACAAGAGUAUCGAGGCAGUGGUGGCCCGGCUAGAGAGACAGAACGGCCUGAGCCUGGGCCACAGCACUUGUCCAGAAGAGGUCUUUGUGGAGGCCUCACCGGGCACAGAGGACAUGGACAGUCUGGAGGAUGCUGUCGUGCCCCGGGCUCUGUAUGAGGAGCUGCUGCGAAACUACCAGCAGCAACAAGAGGAGAUGCGCCACCUCCAGCAGGAGCUGGAGCGGACUCGGAGGCAGCUCGUACAGCAGGCCAAGAAGCUCAAGGAGUACGGGGCAUUGGUGUCUGAAAUGAAGGAGCUCCGAGACCUCAACAGGAGACUCCAAGAUGUGCUACUCCUGCGGCUUGGCAGCGGUCCCGCCAUUGACUUGGAAAAAGUAAAGUCAGAAUGUCUCGAGCCCGAGCCGGAGUUACGGAGCACUUUCAGUGAGGAAGCAAAUACGUCGUCCUAUUACCCCGCUCCUGCGCCUGUCAUGGACAAGUAUAUCCUAGACAAUGGCAAGGUCCAUCUGGGAAGCGGGAUUUGGGUUGAUGAGGAGAAAUGGCACCAGCUACAAGUUACCCAAGGAGAUUCUAAGUACACGAAGAACUUGGCAGUCAUGAUCUGGGGAACAGAUGUUCUGAAAAACAGAAGUGUCACAGGAGUCGCCACAAAAAAAAAGAAGGAUGCAAUCCCAAAGCCACCCCUCUCUCCUCACAAGCUCAGCAUCGUCAGAGAGUGUUUAUAUGACAGAAUAGCACAAGAAACGGUGGAUGAAACGGAAAUUGCACAGAGACUCUCCAAAGUCAACAAGUACAUCUGUGAGAAAAUCAUGGAUAUCAACAAAUCUUGUAAAAAUGAAGAACGAAGGGAAGCAAAAUACAAUUUGCAAUAAACUUUAAAUUUUUUUCAUAAGGCCUUUGCAUUUUUUUUGUGUGUGGUGUAUGCAUUUCAGGUGAUGGUGCCAUCCAAAUAGACUACACCAGACAUGGCUGUGUCUGGGCAGGGGGCCUUCAGGGCACUGAGGUCAGUGUCUUAUUCUGAAUUUGGACUUCCUACUUCGAAGAAGGCAGAUGGAUUCACUGAGACUCAGCAUGAGGCUCAGUACGAGCCUCAUGCCAUUGCCAGUGUUGUUAUGGAACGGGAAAAGCACUUUUCGCAGGGCUGUAAAGCAUCAGAGUAGCCUGUCGGGACCACAAUACGAACUGUUAUUUUUACCAUCGGAGGAUAUCUCUCUCUGCUCCUCUAUUUUGUUCUAUAAUAAAAUUCCAUUAAUUCUUGAUGUA